AAGAAUAAGAAGAAAACAACUUGGUGGUGUUUUGAGCACUCUAUGCUGCACAACUGUGAUGAGGAGGAUGAAGAUGACGAUGGUGCAGCAUAUUAGAAAAACCCCCAACAGGUACAGUAAAGAAAAACUCCCAAACCAAGAAUUCAUGGGAUGAAGAUGUGGACAGACAUGUUGCACAAUGACCACGAAAAGCUCCCGAUAGAGAUGGUGGAAGGAGAAAAUGAAUAUAGG